UGGACGUCUGUGCAGCACGACUGACCAACAAACCCAGAAAAGGAAUGCUAACAGUUGUGUACACCGGUGAUAGAGCGCCACUGUUCGCUAAAACUCAUCAGCUGCACUAAAGCGAGGCUUGCCUCAGUGAAAGGAGUCCUCAUGCACACUUCCCGUGUUACAGGAUGGCAGCUCCUGAUUCAUUGUCCCACGGUCCUUCAGGGGACUCAGUCUGCCUUCAGGAAGAAAAAGUAUCAGCCGAAAUGAUGUUGGUUGAUUGCCUGACAAAUUAUCAGGAGUUAGUGAGCUUUGAUGAUGUGAUUGUGGACUUUACCCAAGAGGAGUGGACCUCACUGAACCCAGAUCAGAGAACCCUCUACCGAGAG
rnacentral:lncRNA from 1 species